rnacentral:rRNA from 1 species
GUCGCAGCGGAAACGAGUUAUCUGAACCUUCGGGGAACGAUAACGGCGUCGAGCGGCGGACGGGUGAGUAAUGCCUAGGAAAUUGCCUUGAUGUGGGGGAUAACCAUUGGAAACGAGUGGCUAAUACCGCAUAAUGCCUACGGGCCAAAGAGGGGGACCUUCGGGCCUCUCGCGUCAAGAUAUGCCUAGGUGGGAUUAGCUAGUUGGUGAGGUAAUGGCUCACCAAGGCGACGAUCCCUAGCUGGUCUGAGAGGAUGAUCAGCCACACUGGAACUGAGACACGGUCCAGACUCCUACGGGAGGCAGCAGUGGGGAAUAUUGCACAAUGGGCGCAAGCCUGAUGCAGCCAUGCCGCGUGUAUGAAGAAGGCCUUCGGGUUGUAAAGUACUUUCAGCAGUGAGGAAGGGGGUGUCGUUAAUAGCGGCAUCUCUUGACGUUAGCUGCAGAAGAAGCACCGGCUAACUCCGUGCCAGCAGCCGCGGUAAUACGGAGGGUGCGAGCGUUAAUCGGAAUUACUGGGCGUAAAGCGCAUGCAGGUGGUUUGUUAAGUCAGAUGUGAAAGCCCGGGGCUCAACCUCGGAACUGCACUUUGAAACUGGCAAACUAGAGUACUGUAGAGGGGGGUAGAAUUUCAGGUGUAGCGGUGAAAUGCGUAGAGAUCUGAAGGAAUACCAGUGGCGAAGUGCGAGCCCCCUGGCACAGA